GGGGAUGCGUGGUUUCGACAGGGUCAGCGGCGAGAUCGCUGCGAGCCGAGGACGCCGUUUCACCCUCGUUAAUCAGGACGGCAGCCAGACAACUGGCAACUCUUACGCACUCGCUGCCUAACUAGCAGUGACGUCCCCCCGGUCUCCCCUCCGCGGGCCGGGGAGGACGAUGAAGCGGAGGUGCGGCCCGCCCGAUGGUCGGUAAGCGGGAAUAAGUCAGCCGACCUGGAGCGAUCCGAGAGCGCGUCGGUGCGCGCUCGGGUCCUCGAGAAAAGAAAUCGCCGGCCACGCUCGUAGACGCGGUCUCGGCAAAGGCCUUGGACGGGGAGUUCGACCCUCCCCCAUCUCCACAG
rnacentral:tmRNA from 1 species